rnacentral:rRNA from 1 species
GACGAACGCUGGCGGCGCGCCUAACACAUGCAAGUCGAACGGAGAUACCAGAGGAGCUUGCUCCACCGGUAUCUUAGUGGCGGACGGGUGAGUAACACGUGAGCAACCUGCCUUUCAGAGAGGGAUAACGUUUGGAAACGAACGCUAAUACCACAUAACAUCACGAUACGGCAUCGUAUUGUGAUCAAAGGAGCAAUCCGCUGAGAGAUGGGCUCGCGUCCGAUUAGAUAGUUGGUGGGGUAACGGCUCACCAAGUCGACGAUCGGUAGCCGGACUGAGAGGUUGAACGGCCACAUUGGGACUGAGACACGGCCCAGACUCCUACGGGAGGCAGCAGUGGGGAAUAUUGCACAAUGGGGGAAACCCUGAUGCAGCGACGCCGCGUGAGGGAAGAAGGUUUUCGGAUUGUAAACCUCUGUCUUUGGUGACGAUAAUGACGGUAGCCAAAGAGGAAGCU